ensembl:lncRNA
AUGGAGAGCCUGGACGCGCCGCCGCCCGCCGCGCGGAGCUCCCCCGGCGACCCCGCCCUCUUCCACAACAAGCGGGACUCGGCCUACAGCUCCUUCUCCGCCAGCUCCAACGCCUCCGACUACGCCGCCGCGCCGCUGCGGCCCGGCGACGCCUGCUCCAUGGACAACCUCGCCGCCGGCGACGCCUCGACCCCGGGGGGUCCGGCCGCCGAGGCCCCGGACCAGGCGCAGCUCGUCUCGCUCAAGUCCAGGUCCCUGACCAGGCCCCGAGCGAGGACCGCCCAGGUGAAGGAGAGGCCUUCGUCCUGCUGCUACGAGGGAGGAGACUUCCAGACGGGGAGGAAGAUGAACCCUCCUCUGCCUCCGACCAGGACGGACAGCUUCAGGGCGACCCGGGCUCGGCCACACGGCGCCAGCAAGCGAUGCGUCUCGGCGCCGGUUGAAAUCGCCGGCGUCUCUUCUUACUUUGAGGAAAACAAGUCGUCCCCGGAUGCUGAAUCAGGGAUGCUGAAUGGCUUUUCCGCACCAGAGGACGGCGUCAAAGGCGGGACUCUGAAAGACUCGCAGCGCGUCCGAAGACGCGCCGGCUGCGACGCUCGCGCUGAUAAAGACUUCGUCUCAGCGGCGGCCUCGGGUCACGUCCCCGCCGCGCCCCCUCGGCCGAGCUCCUCGCCGACAGAAUCCUCCGUCGGGCCUGGAGAGGAGUCUUGCGUGGCGCACGGCCCCCCCGAACAGCCCGCAGCCGAUCAACUCGCGGCGUUGCGAGGUAGAAGCGACGUCUCUCCCUCCGAUGUCUCCACGUGGUCCCCUCCGUCUCCUCGCGGAGACCGGGAUGCUUCUCACGACCCCGUCCACGCGCCCUCAAGGCAGUGGGGGGGGGGCGGCCGCUGCGCGACCCCGGGAUCUGGGGAUCAGGGGACGGGUGUGGGCGGCGGGCACCACCACCCGCGGGGCCGCUCCGUGAGCGUCCCCGGGGACGCCGCUGCACCCUCCGCCCAGGGGACGGCGAGCUCCGAGCAGAUUCUGCAGAGGGACUUUCAGCCUCUGCGCGCUGCCGCCAGCGUGGACACGUUACUGGGGGAGCACGCGGAGUCGGAUAAAGGCGGCAAAAGGGAGGAGGCGGCGGCCGGCGAGGCGGACAUGAGGAAGUCGGCCGCGUCCAAGAGCCAGCGGCGAAACCGCCGUCGCGGCGAGCGGUUCGCCACCAACCUGCGCAACGAGAUCCAGAGGAAGAAGGCCCAGCUUCAGAGGAGCCGGGGGCCGGGGGGGGCUGCUCUGCAGCGGGGAAACCGUCCAGGAGGAGGAGGGUCCGGACCUCAGCGAGGAGGGGGCGGAGCUUAA